AUUUAUAUAAUAUAAAAAAUUAUAUUUGACUUCCAAUCAAAAAAUCUAAUAAUUUAGUAUAAAUA
rnacentral:tRNA from 1 species